GUUGCUGCAGAAGGAAACGAAUGUUUAAAAAAGAAAAUCCGCCGGCCUUAGGAUGACAACCCAUUUUGCAGGUUCAUAUUUUCCUCCCUUCCUCCCCCUGCUUUAAGAUGAAAGAAAUAAAAGUCUCUGCCUUGAAAGGUCCAAGAAAAGCUUGCGUGGGUGUUUUGCUUAGCGCCAACUCUGAACUUUUAGACAAUGGACCGGAACCACGUCAGCGCCCCAAAAGUUACCUGAUGAUCUCCUCGUUCCCCCAACAACACUGAGUUGUCAAAUGCUACCACUACACACCCCUAGGACCCGCUGAAGUCCCCCUCAACAAACAAACAAAAAUGGUGGCUGCAGGAGGCGUGGGCAGCCCCGUGGCCCUGCACAAAGGGGAAAAUAAGCCCUAAAAUCUUCAACUGUAAGGAAGUCAGUGCGCUUUCAGCUUUCCGGACGCGAGGGAGCGGUCACCCAAGGCCUGGUGGGCCGAAGCGGGCGAGUGCGGCUCCCAGAGCGAAUCGCUUUAGGCGACGGAGACACGACCUGCGAAUGGCACGGAUCUAGGAACUUUUGUACCGAAUUAUCCGGAUUUCUGGGAAACUCAGGGAGUAAGAACUUUUUCCAAACCCCUGAUUUCUCCCGAUUUCCUCCAAAUCCCCAGCGAAACGUAAGAAAAAUGAGAAUAAUUUUUAAAAAAGGAAAACAGCAGAGCUCUGCACCAGGUUUGUGGGCACGUUUCACUCCCCGGAUAACCCCCUUUCCUCCCUCGGUCACCUAGCCACCCUAUCCCGAUGCCACUCAAACAGUCUAGCAUUAUUUGGUCCCGGCCGUUUCACUCCAGUGCACAUCGGGGGCUGAGAUCUAAAUACUCAUUUGAUAUAGCGCCGUAAUCCUUUUCUCAUAUUUGAUGGGAAUGUUUUCCAUAUCCCAGUAUUUGACAACAUCUCCCUAUAGGGACAGGUUUGUAUUUAUGUUGGUAAAAUGUCCCCUGCCUCAAAGUCUAUUGUAACCCAACACCUGACAACCCCGAGUCCCAUUUCUGUUUGCAGAAAGGGUUUAUUCAAGCACAUAAUGGGAUCCCAGCAGAAAGCCUUUCAGAACAAGGGGCUAUGGUAAACUUCACCACAUGAACUCCGUUUCCAGGGCUAUUAAGCUUUUAAUUGGAAAAUAGCAGAGGAAAUUUCAAGGUGACUAUAACGUGUUAGCAGUUAGUGCCGAGAAGAAAAGCCCAUGAGGGAAUGAAUGUAGUAAGCAUAUGGUCCGAAUCACAUUUAGGAGGAGCGGCCGGCUUCUAAGUCUCUGCAGCUCGUACACGUAUGGGAAAAAUCAUCAAAGAAAUUGGAAGGGAGGAGGGAGGAUUACAAGUAAUGUAACCUCGCUAGACUAGAAGCACUAGCGUUCUCUGGGUGGUGGUGUUUGUGUUUUCAAACCACAAUUAGGUAGAAUUGUGGCAGGUAUUAAAAGUGAAAGGGUGAAAAAUGUGUUGGUCUCUCUCGCCUCGCACACAAACGCACCGUGCGCGUGUACCUAAACGCUGGGAAUGUAGGCGCCCUUGCUAAGAAACGACGUGCAGGCUC